ACGACUCUCGAUAAUGGAUAUCUCAACUUUCGCAUCGAUAAAGAACAUAGCGAAAUAUGAUACUUGGUGUGAAUUGCAGAAUCCCGUGAACCAUCAAGUCUUUGAAUGCAAGUUGCGCCCGAAGCCACUUGGCCGAGGGCAUGCCUGUCUGGGUGUCACGCAUCGCGUCGCCUCCUUCACACGUCCAAACAUGCUGUGGGGGUGGAAAGUGGUCCCCCGUACACGGUGCCGUGCGGUCGGCCUAAAUGUGAUCCCCAACGACGUACCUCACGACAAGUGGUGGUUGAACCCUCAACGCGCUUUGUCGUGCACCACCGUGUCGGGACGCACGAUCAGACCCAAUGGCAUGUGCGAGCACGUCGCCUUCGAUCGCGACCCCAGGUCAAGUGGGAUCACCCGCUGAGUUUAAGCAUAUCAAUAAGCAUAGCAAAAUAAACAUACAUGGAUUCCCCUAGUAACUGCGAGCGAACUGGGAAUAGCCUAACUUGAGAAUCGAGUGACCACACCAUUCGAAUUGCAGUCUGGAGAAGCAUCCUCAGCGGCAGACUGGGGUCGAGUCCCCUGGAAUGGGGCGCCAUAGAGGGUGAGAGCCCCAUUGCUCCUGGACCCUAUCGCACCAUGAGGCGCUAUCGACAAGUCAGGUUGUUUGGGAAUGCAGCCCCAAUCAGGCGGUAAAUUCCGUCCAAAGCUAAAUACAGGCGAGAGACCGAUAGCGAACAAGUACCGCGAGGGAAAGAUAAAAAGGACUUUGAAAAGAGAGUCAAAAAGUGCUUGAAAUUGUCAGGAGGAAAGCGGAUGGGGGCCGGUGAUGCAUCCCGGUCGGAUGUGGAACGACUAGAGCCAGUCCGCCGAUCGACUCGUGGCGCGGACCAGCACGGAUCGAUGCGGAGCUCAAAUUGGGGCGGUUGAUAUGCUCAUUUUAUGGCAUCGCGUUGAUCCAGGCGGACAACGUGUCCUCAUGCGUGCCUCGAUAACUAUGCUUUCCUGGUGCUAGCCUGCGGGCUCCCCAUUCGACCCGUCUUGAAACAUGGACCAAGGAGUCUGACAUGUAUGCGAGUCAAUGGGCGAUUAAACCCGUAAGGCGCAAGAAACCUGAUCGGCGCCAUCCCCCCGAGAAGUGCACCGCCGACCAACCAUUAUCUUCUAAGAAGGGUUCGAGUGAGCGUACCUGUCAGGACCCAAAAGAUGGUGAACUAUGCCUGAGCGGGGCGAAGCCAGAGGAAACUCUUGUAGAGGCCCGCAGCA
rnacentral:rRNA from 1 species